rnacentral:rRNA from 1 species
AUGGCAUGGUGGAAGUUUUGUAUUCCGAAGAGUGAAGGAGGUAUGGGAUUCCAUGAUCUCUACUCUUUCAACUUAGUUUUAUUCGCGAAACAGAGAUGGAGACUCAUAAUUGACCCGGAUUCUUUGGUGGCAAGGGUAUUAAAAGCUAAAUAUUAUCCCAACGGGAGCUUACUUGAUGCCACAUCGAAGAAUGGGGCAUCCCUUACUUGGCAAAGUAUUUUGAACGGAUUGGAAACUUUUUAA